rnacentral:antisense_RNA from 1 species
UUUUAUGGGGGUUGCUGACAGGAAGCCGCAAGGCUUGCCGUUUCCUUUUUGACGGUUAUUCCACACCUGUAAGCGACCCCCGCCCCU